GGAGGGGGGAAGCUUUAAAUAAAGCCUUUGGAUUGCAGCUGCUUAUUUUGGGCAGUCCUACCAGGGACGAUUCUUGCCAAGAAAGAAGCUGGACCGGUCUUUUUUAUUUUGAUUUUGAUUUUUGGGGGUGGCAGUGGUGUGUUGCUGAGCUGCCUGCUGAGAUGAGCUCCGGUGCCUGCCUGUAGUUGCCCGCUUUGGGAUCGCUGGACACAUAAGUGGCAUUUCGCUGGGGGAAGCCUGCAGACAUGGUAGACUGAGAAUAACACAUGUCCAAGUUAAAACUGCAUCCUACAAGAACUAUUUGAUGGAUUAUUCCUAGACAUUUCUAAGAAGGUAAACACAAAAAGUGAGUACUAAUCACUAUGUCUGGGAUGUUUUAAUUAUGCUUUGCUGUUUAAAAUCAAAUUAUGAUUAUUGCACUGUUUCAUGAGCAUGAUUGGAGUCACGAAGCGUUCCACUAUUUUUUUUCAGAAUUACUGUUACUUGAUGCUGAUAAUUUUUAUUACUGUCAAAUUUGUGAGUCCCUUUCAAGGAGUUAUUUGCAGUAAAAUUCAGUGCUGGGCACUGUAGAAUAUAGAUAUUCUCUGCAUGAAAUGACUUACAUCAAAGUACAAAUCAAAAAGACAUAGGUAGUGACAGAUUGAUGGAGAAUCAAGGAUGCAAUAAGAGUGCCAGUAACUAUGGCAGGUAAUGAUAACAGUGUCAUUAGCCUAGCCUUUGUCAGUGCUUUCUAGGCAUCACUGCAGAGAAGGGAAGGGAAUAACAAGGUUAUUUUAUACAUGUUUGUGGGGGGAAGCAUGAAAGAAAAUACAGAAGCAUCCAUUUGAAAAUCCAACACGUUUUAUGGAAGAUCAUUGUGUGGGUUGAUUGGAUGCAGACAGCUUAGCUUUGAUACUAUGAGGGAAAGGGAUGUCAGUGCUUAAAUAUUAUUUCCAGGAAUAUUUGUUCCCACACCUUCCGUAGAACCAAAAUGAUGCUAACCAGUGUUGUAUCUCCAAAUUUUCCAUUUUUCACUGCCUGAAUUUGAGAGUUCCAUUUUUUCAGAAAUCUUCCUCAAUUGCCUCAAGCAUUCAAAGAUUAAUGAGUGGAGCCUCAGAACAUCAGCCAGAUUUCUCAGCGCUCAUGAAUGUGUCCUAGUGAGUUCCUUGGACUUGUGCAUAGCUUGUUUGUUCCCUAACCUCAUAUUCCUUCACCACUGAUAUGUGUUUCUUCCUGUCUCCAAACUUUCCCACCAGUUUCAGGCACCUGGGAUUGGUGAGGGCAAGUCCUACUAGUAUGGAGCAAGGUGAACAAGAGAUUGAGUACCUCAAUCUUCCUUAUGUCCUUUGUCAGCAGAUCUCCUGUGCCAUUCAACACAGGGCCCAAAUUUCCCCUACUGUCAUUAUCUCCCAAUGCUAAUAUAGACUUGAUGUCUCUGGGGAAGGUUGCAAAAAGAUAAGAGUAGUAAGAGAAGAGAAAGGAACCAAAACACGAAGAGUGGGAAGGAGGAAUAAAGCAGAUUUAUUACAGAGAAAAAAAGACAGAAAAGAUAACCUGGAAAGGAACUGAGAUAACAAACGGAGGGCAAAAUGUCAAAAAUAAGAGAUUGAAUGGUUUACUGUUCUGGGCAGCUGAUAAAAUAAGGAAGAAAAGUAUUAAAAACAGGUUCUUAGGCAUCCAAAACUAGAUGGAAAAUUAGAGGAAUUAAAGUCCUGAAACCCUUGUUUUUCACAUGAGUUCAAAGUUCCCUCUUGAUAUUCAUCUUCUUUAUGCAGAUUUUAAAAGCUUUUCAUGCAGGAGGUGUACAAACAACACUUAGCACUGCAAAUAAGGUCUGGGCCUUCUACAGGGCUUCUGCCAUACAUAGAAGUAAAAAGAUGUUCACCUCAACCUGGAAAGUCUUUACGAGUGAUGAAUGGAGACAAUGAAAAUCUUGUUAAGGAAAAGUUAUUAAAAGUAUGGAAAAAGAAGUUCUAAAACUCAUAAUCUUGAAUGUAAAAAGAUAUUUCAAUGAAAUUGAUGCAGAAUUAUGCUCAUCUGCAAAAUAAAAAGGGAGUGGUUAGUGUACACCAGUGAUUUAAUCACCAGCUUUGUGUAGGUACUGAAAUAAAUAAUAGGAGACUCUUCCCAAAACAUAACUCUGCCUGUGGGUUAUGUCCAGGAGUUCAUUCUUUAUUUGCUCUUUGGGGAGAAACCACUUUCUUCUAUAAGGAAUUAGGUUGUUUCUCCCCGUAAUAACAACAAUCACUAUGAACUAGCUGAGAAUUCAGAGCCUGCAACCUACAUUUGUCUGUACCAAACCUACUCAGCUGAAAUGUAUAGUUUGUUGGGAUUUAGAUUGAUUGGAAUUAUUAGGGUUGGUGUGAAUUAAAAUGUGGCUGUAGACUGGAUUCAUAAAGUUGAGUUCUGACCUCACUCCAAGAUAAUAGACUAUGAUUUUUUUUUUUUUUUCAGAAUAAAAACAACAGUGUUUUCAAGAUCAGUUUCAUGUUAAAUAGUAACAGGAUAACAAGGUGACUGACUACAGCAAAAUGAGUUGGGUGAGGAAAUGGAGGGGAGAUCUCUAAAAUAGAACUCCCCAAAGUACUGGGAGUCACUGAACAUAACAAGCUCCGUUUACUACAAGAUGGGUCAACUCACGGGACAUAUCUAGACAACUUUUUACUGAAGGCGAGUGGCUACUGACCACUGUCUACACAAUUGGAAGAAUAUUAAAAGAAAAAAAAAGUUUGCUAAUCCUUUCAGCUUUGAUGUAUUUAAUAGUCUUGUUGCCGCCUGUUGAUCUGAUUGGUGUCAUAAAGUUAGAGGCCACUAGUAGACUUCAAAUCAAUUAUUUUCUAUGGAAUCACCAUAUUUUCCCCCUGUUACAUACAACUGACCAGAGAAGUCACCCAUGUCAUCACUGUGGCAAUCGCAUCUGCACCCCAAGGAGCUGUUCUACAGCUCUCUGCUGAGUACACUGUACUGGAUACACCAUACUGGGUGUCCCAGCUUCUUGCUGAACUGACCUGGCAAGAAGAGAUGCACACAUACAAUAAGUACAAGCAGUACCAAUGAUAGGAACUAUUAUUUCACUGUCUCAGUAAAAGUAAUAAAAUGCCACAGGGUAGGUAGAGCACUUCUCAGGGUGAUUUUCAGCCAAUGUCUUUGUGUUGGGGCAGUCAGUGUUGAUCUGGAAACUAGGUAAUUCCCAAUUGCUGCUCAGUUGCAGCUCUCAGUGGCAACUGGGGUUCAGUGCUGGACAUCAGACUACUUUUAGGUGAGGAAAGAUGGAAUUAGAUGGCUGGCUUUUGGUUUCUCACCUGGAAAUCAGUGGCUGUUGGCUGUUGGCUUUCAUGCCAUUGUAUUGCAGCCUGUGCCUAUCCAUUUUCUUAUCAUCCCACAAAAUGACUCAUAUGCAUUUCAGCAUGUUUACAAACAAACUCUUUUAUGAAUAAGUUUUGGGGAAUAAAGAUUCAUUAAAAAAUCCCUUUUCCUAGCUUAUUAAGAACUGAUGGAUGUCUACAUCUCUUCUAAUUUCCUUAAGUCUCCUAGUUUCUUAGCCUUGAUCUACCUGUCAUAGGAUUCACAUGGUGUAUCUUCUCAUUUAUACUAUAAAUCCAAGAUAAGCAUCCUUACCAACUGUAUGUUUAUGCAGCAGCUAAUAUUUUGGGCUAGUAAUGUAUUUCAAGCCUCCAGGUGUAAGUGAUACAAAGAUGUUAUAUAAUAAUAGGGCAAAGCUCAUUCUCCUACAAGGCAUCUUGCUUCAACCCACAAUACAGAGAGACAUUCAUUAAAAGGUUCCAUUUAUUUAAAUCAAUCUGUCAUGCAAUGUUAAUUAAGCAUUAAUUUAUACUUAUUUCUCUCAGGCACCAGACCAUCAUUUUUCUUGAAUAACCUCUGAAGUUUGGCUCACAAUACCAGGGGAGGGAUGGAAUGGGCUUGUCUUCGUGAAUACUAGAGGCAUCAUUUAUUUAUUUGUGCAUUCACACGCUUACUCGUUUUUGAUCUCAAGUGCAUCAGUCUCCAUAAUCCCCUCCCCUCCCAUUAUUUGCCAAAGGAGGAACUGGCAAAACAACAGAAAGGAUGUAAUUAGUAACUUGGCUGUGGGGUACAUGGAGGGGUGGGUGUAGAAACCAGUAUGAAAUCAGAAGUUUAAAAUGAGAUCUGUUUGUAUGUUGUCAGCCAACCAUUUUCUUCUUGUUUUGAUUUGCAAGUGAAUUGCAGCUGUAUUUCUUGGACAUAUCAGAUUUUCUUUCCUUUUGCCGUGCUACAGAAAGUUAUUUUCAGCCCAGGUUUCACUCCUCCUGUUGUGACAUGCAAGAGAUGUGAUCUCACACUCUCCACAGAACUGAUGCACAACAGCGAUGCCAUAACAAAAAUCCCAUCGUUACUCUGUUUGGAGAAAGAGACAACUUAGUGGCAGCGAAACAGCAAAUAUGGAGUAUCUCAGAGAAAUCUUCCCCUGAGGAUACUUACUGCUCAUCUCCCUGUAGGUUUAAUUACAUACCAUAAUAUCAUAGCAUCUUCCUUCUGAAAACCGCAUGCCAUUUGGAAAGCAGUAAUGACAUUACACUUAACCCACAGCCUGAACAACACUGCACCAUUUACACAUACCACCCACCUCCACUAACAGGCAGAUUCCUUCAGACACUUUAAGCAUGAUUUUGCUGCUUUCAGGAUUUUUUCAAACUGCCUUCAGGUUUUCCUUUUGUAUAUCUCUGUAUGAUUCUGCAGUGUGCAUUACAGAUGUCUAACAGUGUCAUGCAUGCAAACAAUUUUGCUAUGGGUCCCAAUGGGCACCAUCAUAGAAUCACAGAAUGGUUUGGGUUGUAAGGGACCUUAAAGUCCACCCAGUUCCAGCCCCUGCCAUGGACUGGUUGCCUUUCACCAGCUCAGGCUGCCCAGGGCCCAUCCAGACUGGCCUAGGGCACCUCUAGGGAUGGGGCACCCACUGCUCUAUGGUCAGCAGUGCCAGGGCCUCACCAUCCUUUCUGUGAAAAUCUUUCCCCCGUCAUCUAAUCUAAAUCUCCCUCUCAACUAUGCAUGCAGGAACAAACCCAUUGUAUUUUCACUUGUUUGCUUUAGCUGACAUUAACUCAUAGAGUUUUUGGUAAAGCUUUCAUAUACUCUGGAAGUUCUAGGCAAUAUCUACUUUAAUUUACAGAUUCUAAUUCGAUGUCGACUGAUAGAGUGGGGAGAACAGUGGAAAGAGGGUGUGAAAUCUGCUGUGAGGUGUGCAAGCACUGGUUACCACUCUGCAUUAGAGUUUUUUCCGUAGGAAAAAAACGCAGAGCUUUUUCAUUUAAUUACAGUGCUAUUUCUUCAACUGCAUAUGACAAUGUCCAUGAUUCCAUUGCUGGGGAGUUUUGGUUUUUAUGCGCUUUCUCAUUAGGAUUAAAAAGCCAUUGCAUAGCAUAAGGUAAAACAAACAGGUAGGUGGGUAGAGUUAUCCAUCUCUCAUGCAACAGGAUAACCCAGAACACAGUAGUGUGGUGAAAUAAAUGAAAGUGAGUUAGAGGGUCUGUCCGCACCUGGUAUAGGAAAGCACCCUCUGAGUAUUGCUGCUACAAAGCUGUGUUCAGCUCCUCUGAAGAGUCAUGUUAAGUCCUAACAUGAAGAGCAGGCUGAAAUAAGGAGGUCAAUUUUAAAUAUACUUCAACGGGUAGAAUUCUUCCUCUCUGUUUUGUUAUAGCAGCAUAGUAUUGCUAGUGAUAAUAAUUAUCACAAAUCUAGGAAGGUGCACGUGCCUUUGAGGUAGUGGAGUCACCUUUUUCACAAUAUUGCUAAUUAAGAGUAGUUUAUUUUCCUGGCGUAGAUGCCCAGACUGUCAUCAUAAAUGAAGAAGCAAGUUCUUUAUGUCAACAUAUUUAACCCAUUCGCAGGCAGUCUGACUCCGCUAAAAGCACUAUCCUGAACACUUGCUAUUAGCAUUGUAUUAACUUAAUGUGUCCUCCCUGGAAAAGAUAAGUAGAUUAGCUUUAAAUAUGGAGAUUGGCAACUUGAAAAUAUAGCUCAGCCCUGAAAAGACAAGUAGCAGUUUGUCAUUGCUUUUGCAAAGAUAUUGCAUAUCUAUGUGAAACAAGAAAUACAGAUGCCUAUGACAACAUUAGCCUAGGAAUAGAGAAGCCAGAGGGUGCACAAAUGUUUUUUUUCUGAGCUGGACAUCUGGGUCAAGUGAGUUUGUUCAUCUCUGCAUAAUGGAAACAAUUUGUUUCCUCCAAGGAUUUCUCACAAUACGGUGAUUGUAGGGAGGGGAAGGUGGGGAUGUGCCUAAGGCAUGUGCUCAGAUCUGCAGAGCAUUCAGUCCCUUUGGAAAAAAAAAAUUACCUUGGCCAGCCUCAUGCAGAGUUUCUGCCCUGAUCAAGGCAAACACACAAUUCACCUGCU
rnacentral:lncRNA from 1 species